rnacentral:rRNA from 1 species
UGAGGGAAGAAGUUUAUUGACGGUACCUCAUGAAUAAGGGGCUCCUAAUCUCGUGCCAGCAGGAGCGGUAAUACGAGAGCCCCGAGCGUUAUCCGGAAUUAUUGGGCGUAAAGGGUGCGUAGGUGGCACUGUUAGUCGUUUGUCAAAUCUCCAAGCUUAACUUGGAAUCCGCGAACGAAACGGCAGAGCUAGAGAGUGUGAGGGGUAUAGGGAACUCAUGGUGUAGGGGUGAAAUCCGUUGAUAUCAU